GAAAGCGAUGCUAAUACCGAAUGAUAUCUCAAAAACUUUGGUUUUUGAGAUCAAAGGUGGCCGCUCCAUGGAAGCUACUGUUAGGAGAUGAGCCCGCGUACCAUUAGCUUGUUGGUAGGGUAAUGGCCUACCAAGGCAACGAUGGUUAGCUGGUCUGAGAGGAUGAUCAGCCACACUGGAACUGACACACGGUCCAGACUCCUACGGGAGGCAGCAGUGAGGAAUUUUGCGCAAUGGGGGAAACCCUGACGCAGCAACGCCGCGUGAGUGAUGAAGGCCUUCGGGUCGUAAAGCUCUGUCAAGUGGGAAGAACCUGCCCUGUGCUAAUAUCACCGGGCACUGACGGUACCACUGAAGGAAGCACCGGCUAACUCCGUGCCAGCAGCCGCGGUAACACGGGGGGUGCAAGCGUUAUUCGGAAUCACUGGGCGUAAAGAGCGUGUAGGCGGUCUCUUAAGUCANAUGUGAAAGCCCGGGGCUCAACCCCGGAAGUGCAUUUGAAACGAAGGGACUUGAGUAUGGGAGAGGGAAGUGGAAUUCCUGGUGUAGCGGUGAAAUGCGUAGAUAUCAGGAGGAACACCGGU
rnacentral:rRNA from 1 species